rnacentral:rRNA from 1 species
GAUGAACGCUGGCGGCGUGCCUAAUACAUGCAAGUCGAGCGAACAGACGAGGAACUUGCUCCUCUGACGUUAGCGGCGGACGGGUGAGUAACACGUGGAUAACCUACCUAUAAGACUGGGAUAACUUCGGGAAACCGGAGCUAAUACCGGAUAAUAUAUUGAACCGCAUGGUUCAAUAGUGAAAGACGGUUUUGCUGUCACUUAUAGAUGGAUCCGCGCCGCAUUAGCUAGUUGGUAAGGGAACGGCUUACCAAGGCAACGAUGCGUAGCCGACCUGAGAGGGUGGUCGGCCACACUGGAACUGAGACACGGUCCAGACUCCUACGGGAGGCAGCAGUAGGGAAUCUUCCGCAAUGGGCGAAAGCCUGACGGAGCAACGCCGCGUGAGUGAUGAUGGUCUUCGGCUCGUAAAACUCUGUUAUUAGGGAAGAACAAAUGUGUAAGUAACUAUGCACGUCUUGACGGUACCUAAUCAGAAAGCCACGGCUAACUACGUG